UACUUAGAAGAGUGAAUUUGAGUUGUAUUUAUUGUGCUCAAAACACCCAAGACCGUUGCUUAAUUGCCAAUCACAAAUUGCUGAUUUUGUGCUAGGAUAAUCGAUUAUCUGAUUCUGCAUAAUCGAUUAUCGUUGCUUAAUUGCCAAUCACAAAUUGCUGAUUUUGUGCUAGGAUAAUCGAUUAUCUGAUUCAGCAUAAUCGAUUAUCUGCCAACGUUCAAAAAUCAAUCCCAGAUUUUAAGCAGAAUAAUCGAUUACCUGACAACGUUCAAAAAUCAAUUCCCGAU
rnacentral:lncRNA from 1 species